rnacentral:rRNA from 1 species
ACACGUGCUACAAUGGGUAGUACAGAGGGUUGCCAAGCCGUAAGGUGGAGCUAAUCCCUUAAAGCUACUCUCAGUUCGGAUUGUAGGCUGAAACUCGCCUACAUGAAGCUGGAGUUACUAGUAAUCGCAGAUCAGAAUGCUGCGGUGAAUGCGUUCCCGGGUCUUGUACACACCGCCCGUCACACCACGGGAGUUGGAGACGCCCGAAGCCGAUUAUCUAACCUUUUGGAAGAAGUCGUCGAAGGUGGAAUCAAUAACUGGGGUGAAGUCGUAACAAGGUAGCCGUAUCGGAAGGUGCGGCUGGAUCACCUCCUUU